rnacentral:rRNA from 1 species
AUGAACGUUUGCGGCGUGCCUGAUGCAUGCAAGUCGUACGCUUUAAUAUUUCGCAAGAUUUAUUAGGGAGUGGCGGACGGCUGAGUAACACGUAAGUUACCUACCUCUAAGUGGGGGAUAACUUGCCGAAAGGCAAGCUAAUACCGCAUGUGAAGUAUUUUUAAAGCUUUCGAGCGCUUGGAGAUGGGCUUGCGGCUGAUUAGCUAGUUGGUAGGGUAAUGGCCUACCAAGGCGACGAUCAGUAGCUGGUCUGAGAGGACGACCAGCCAGACAGGGACUGCGACACGGCCCUGACUCCUACGGGAGGCAGCAGCAAGGAAUUUUGCGCAAUGGGCGAAAGCCUGACGCAGCGACGCCGCGUGGGGGAUGACGGCUUUCGGGUUGUAAACCCCUUUUCUUGAGGAAGAAUUAUGACUGUACUCAAGGAAUAAGUCAUGGCUAACUACGU